AGAGAGGAUUAUGCGAAGUGAAAUAAGUCCGAGAAAAGGCAAAUACCGUAUGCUUCCACUUGUAUGUGGAAUCUAAAACAAAACAAAACAAAAAACGAAAAAA